rnacentral:rRNA from 1 species
UACGUAGGGGGCAAGCGUUGUCCGGAAUUACUGGGCGUAAAGCGUGCGCAGGCGGUUUUGUAAGUCUGUCGUGAAAUCCCCGGGCUUAACCUGGGAAUUGCGAUGGAGACUGCAAGGCUAGAAUCUGGCAGAGGGGGGUAGAAUUCCACGUGUAGCAGUGAAAUGCGUAGAGAUGUGGAGGAACACCGAUGGCGAAGGCAGCCCCCUGGGUCAAGAUUGACGCUCAUGCACGAAAGCGUGGGGAGCAAACAGG